rnacentral:rRNA from 1 species
GGUCCUGCCUGCCCAGUGACUAUAUGUUUAACGGCCGCGGUACUUUGACCGUGCGAAGGUAGCGCAAUCACUUGUCUUUUAAAUGAAGACCUGUAUGAAUGGCACAACGAGGGCUUAACUGUCUCCUUUUUCCAGUCAAUGAAAUUGAUCUUCCCGUGCAGAAGCGGGAAUAAUAUCAUAAGACGAGAAGACCCUGUGGAGCUUUAGACACUAAAUCAGCCCUUGUCCAAGAAUCCCAAUUAAAGGAAUGAACACUAGAGUGAGACCUGAUCUAAUGUCUUCGGUUGGGGCGACCUUGGGGAAAGAAAAAUCCCCCAUGCGGAACGGAAAUACCAUAUUUCUAAAACUAAGAGAGACCACUCAAAGUAUCAAAAAUUUUGACCAACUAUAUGAUCCGGCUUAACGCCGAUCAACGGACCAAGUUACCCCAGGGAUAACAGCGCAAUCCUCUUUUAGAGCCCAUAUCGACAAGAGGGUUUACGACCUCGAUGUUGGAUCAGGACAUCCUAAUGGUGCAGCCGCUAUUAAGGGUUCGUUUGUUCAACGAUUAAAGUCCUACGUGAUC